rnacentral:rRNA from 1 species
UGCGUAGGUGGUUGGGUAAGUCUGAUGUGAAAUCUCCGGGCUCAACCCGGAAAUGGCAUUGGAUACUAUUCGGCUAGAGGUUUGGAGGGGGGACGUGGAAUUCUCGGUGUAGCAGUGAAAUGCGUAGAUAUCGAGAGGAACACCAGUGGCGAAGGCGAGUCCCUGGACAACACCUGACACUGAGGCACGAAAGCUAGGGGAGCAAACA